rnacentral:rRNA from 1 species
GAUGAACGCUGGCGGCGUGCUUAACACAUGCAAGUCGAACGGAAAGGCCCAAGCUUGCUUGGGUACUCGAGUGGCGAACGGGUGAGUAACACGUGGGUGAUCUGCCCUGCACUUCGGGAUAAGCCUGGGAAACUGGGUCUAAUACCGGAUAGGACGAUGGUUUGGAUGCCAUUGUGGAAAGUUUUUUCGGUGUGGGAUGAGCUCGCGGCCUAUCAGCUUGUUGGUGGGGUAAUGGCCUACCAAGGCGUCGACGGGUAGCCGGCCUGAGAGGGUGUACGGCCACAUUGGGAAUGAGAUACGGCCCAGACUCCGACGGGAGGCAGCAGUGGGGAAUAUUGCACAAUGGGCGCAAGCCUGAUGCAGAGACGCCGCGUGGGGGAUGACGGCCUUCGGGUUGUAAACACCUUUCGCUAGGGACGAAGCGUUUUUGUGACGGUACCUGGAGAAGAAGCACCGGCUAACUACGUG